UGAACUUUAUUAAGAGUAUAAUUAACUCAACCCUCAUUCGGUGACAACCAGCACUUUAACAUCUUUAGAUGGGACUCGUAAAAUAUUUCAAAGUGCUGAACCACUCCAUAUGUCAAUGACUUGUUCUUACCCUUUGAACUCUUCAUUACUCAUUUCAUAAUGUUGAGUAGGGUUGCUAUCAUUGGUGGAUCUUUUAUUCAAGGAGUUUUAGCCCCA
rnacentral:lncRNA from 1 species